rnacentral:misc_RNA from 1 species
GAUGAAGAACGCAGCGAAAUGCGAUACGUAAUGUGAAUUGCAGAAUUCAGUGAAUCAUCGAAUCUUUGAACGCAUAUUGCGCUCUCUGGUAUUCCGGAGAGCAUGCUUGUUUGAGUAUCAGUAAACACCUCAACUCCCUUUUCUUUUUUGAAAUGGGAGCUGGACUUGAGUGAUCCCAACACUUUUCUCACUGGAAAGUGGCGGGUCACUUGAUAUGCAGGUGCAGCUGGACUUUUCUCUGAGCUAUAAGCAUAUCUAUUUAGUCUGCCUAAAAAACAGAUUAUUACCUUUGCUGCAGCUAACAUAAAGGAGAUGAGUUCUUGUGCUGACUGAUGCAGGAUUCACAGAGACAGCUUUGCGGCUGACUUUGUAAACUCGAUCUCAAAUCAAGUAAGACUACCCGCUGAACUUAAGCAUAUCAAUAAGCGGAGGA